rnacentral:lncRNA from 1 species
CCCCAUGAGUGUUGUUUUAUUUUGAAAAAUUGUAACUGCUUUUGAGGAUGGUAAGCUAUGUGGUUUAUUUAUUUUAUUUUUAUACAGACAGGUAUAGAUGCCAAGUAUGUGUCACCUCACACCUCAGUAAUUUAUUUCAUUUUUGAGAGGGUUUCACUAUGUGGCUCUGGCUGACCUGGAACUUGUCAUGCAGAUUAGGCUGGCCUGGAGCUCACAAGUGCUGGGAUCACAGGUGUGCACCAUCAUUCCUGGCUUGCAUGUUAAAACAGCAUUGGUGUUGCUGAAUGUGAAUGAAGAAGUAUCUGUGAGGAUCUGGGUCUGCUGUGGCUCCUGCCGGCCUGAGGGCCCUUUUGGUGAUCAGCAUGCCCUUGGAUGAGAUCAUAUUUUCAAAGGUAUUCUCUAGGUUGUAAUGUCUGAAUCCUUUUCAAGUUGGCUUUGAACUUUUCCUGAAUCACUAUGCUGAGACUUAUCUAGAUUUUUCCUUCUAUAUGCUUUCCCACAUAAAAAAAAAAAACUUGUUAUUGAUUAUAUUUUGACUCUUUUGAACUUUUUCCUAAAAUGAAUAGAAUACACUGUAACUAAGUCCAUUUCUCCUCCCACCCCAUUUUUCUUCCAGAUAAGGAGGAAAUUAUAUCCUAGCAUAUUUUAGUUAUGUUAAAUACUGAUAGUUUAGUCAGUGAAAAUAGGAUAUAAUUUUUAAAAACCCUACCAUUAAGUUAGUGUGUGUCAUGGGAAAAUUAGAAACAGUCAUAAAAAUCAACUUUCUGUAGGAAUAAAACCAAAAAAAAAAAGAAACAUUAAUUUUGUGGGUUUUUUUUUUACUGUAAAAAAAUCUCUAGUUUCAGGCUGAUGAGAUGUCUCAGCAGGUAAAGGUGUGUGUUGUAUAACUCUGACAACCUGACCUCAAUCCCCAGAACCCAUGGUGGAGGGAAGAGCCAGCUCCUGAAAGUUCCCCUCUAAUCUCCAUGUGAGCCCACCUGAGUGCUCCUGUACAUACACAGGCCACACAGUCCUUAUUUAGUGUGUAUGCGUCUUUUGCCUACAUAUAUGUCUGCACCAUGUGCAUGGAGUACCCAAGGAGGUAGAGUAAAAUAGGCCAUUAAGUGGAUUUCCUGUGAUUGAAAUUGAGAGACUUUUAUGAGCUAUUAUGUAGGUGCAUCAAACCUGGGUCCUCUGGAAUAACAAUCAGUGCUCUUAACCUCUGAUUCAGUUCUCCACUUUCUGCCCCACCCCCUGCAAGUUAAAUAAAAAUAAAAAUAAAAAUUUCUAGCUUCAUACCUAAGGAAAAAAAUCUAUCUGAAAGGAUUUUUGUGCCCCACCCCCUUGUUUCAAUGGCUUUCUUCCCUUGACCUUUCCUAUCCAGCGGUGUGUUGGGUGCGUUGAUUUAGAUACGUUUAUGUUCUCUGUUUAGGCCCAAGAAGGAAGCUUUGGUGGUGGUGUCUUGACACUUGGGUCAUGUUCAGUUCCUUACAGUCUGGUGCAAAGAUCUAGAAUCCAUGGCCCUAGCAGAAGUCUCCCUCAAAAGACCUGUUAGCAGCUGACUGGCCCUGGUGAAGGGUGAUGCGACUACCACGUCCAGGUCAUCCCUCAUCUCGGAUGCUCUUACUGACUUUCUCUGCUCAAAUAAUGGGCUGGUGCAGAACUUGGGGUGUGUUUGUGUCAAAGAGCUCUUGUGAUAUUUGCUCUCUGAACUGGGAGAACCAGUUGGCCUCUUUGGUUUGGUGAAGCUGCAUUCCCAUAGGGCUCCCUGGUUCCCUUGAGAGGGAGGCUCAGUCAGUGCUUGUCCGGUGGGUUACUUUGUAUUCACAUUUGUCCUGACUCUCUGCUGUUACUGCCCUCUGUGAGCUCAAUUUCUUUAAUAAAAGGUCUCAAACUGGGUGAA